rnacentral:rRNA from 1 species
CCUACGGGUGGCUGCAGUGGGGAAUAUUGGACAAUGGGCGAAAGCCUGAUCCAGCCAUGCCGCGUGUGUGAAGAAGGCCUUCGGGUUGUAAAGCACUUUCAGUGGGGAAGAAAGCCUUGGGGCUAAUACCCUCGAGGAAGGACAUCACCCACAGAAGAAGCACCGGCUAACUCCGUGCCAGCAGCCGCGGUAAUACGGAGGGUGCGAGCGUUAAUCGGAAUUACUGGGCGUAAAGCGCGCGUAGGCGGUCUGAUAAGCCGGUUGUGAAAGCCCCGGGCUCAACCUGGGAACGGCAUCCGGAACUGUCAGGCUAGAGUGCAGGAGAGGAAGGUAGAAUUCCCGGUGUAGCGGUGAAAUGCGUAGAGAUCGGGAGGAAUACCAGUGGCGAAGGCGGCCUCCUGGACUGACACUGACGCUGAGGUGCGAAAGCGUGGGUAGCAAACAGGAUUAGAUACCCGAGUAGUC